UACGAAGGGGGCUAGCGUUGUUCGGAUUUACUGGGCGUAAAGAGCGCGCAGGCGGUCGUGCAAGUCGCGUGUGAAAGCCCCCGGCUCAACUGGGGAGGGUCACGCGAUACUGCUCGACUCGAAGGCAGGAGAGGGAAGUGGAAUUCCCGGUGUAGUGGUGAAAUGCGUAGAUAUCGGGAGGAACACCAGUGGCGAAGGCGACUUCCUGGCCUGUUCUUGACGCUGAGGCGCGAAAGCUAGGGUAGCAAACGGG
rnacentral:rRNA from 1 species